rnacentral:rRNA from 1 species
CGCGUAGGCGGUUUGGACAGUUGGGCGUGAAAUUCCUGGGCUUAACCCGGGGGCUGCGCUCAAUACAUCCAGGCUUGAGUGAGGAAGAGGGUCGUGGAAUUCCCAGUGUAGAGGUGAAAUUCGUAGAUAUUGGGAAGAACACCGGUGGCGAAGGCGGCGACCUGGUCCUUUACUGACGCUGAGGCGCGAAAGCGUGGGGAGCAAACAA